UUUUUUUUUCUCUCCUUUUUUUUUUUUUUUUGUUGAGAUGGAGCCUAGCUUUGUAACCCAGGCUGGAGUGCAAUGGUGCAGUCUUGGGUCACUGCAACUCCAUCUCCCGGGUUCAAGUGAUUCUCCUGCCUCAGCUUCCUGAGUAUCUCGGAUCACAGGCACAUGCCCCCACACCCGGCUACUUUUUUUUAUUUUUAGUAGAGACAGGUUUCACCCUGUUUGCCAGGCUGGUCUUCAACUCCUGACCUCAUGAUCCGCCUGCCUCGGCCUCCUAAGUGCUGGGAUUACAGGCAUGAGCCACCGCGCCCAGCCAGAUAAGCUCUCUUUUAAGACAUGCCAGUAUUCUGUAUAGAUAAUAGUUAAAAAGUGUUGGUAAUGAUUGUAAAAUAUGUUUUACCACAACAAAUGAUAUGGAUGAAGAUGGAGGAGCCAUUUAAUUGAAAGCCCUUAGUACCUAUAAAGACCUAUGUUCUUAUCAUCAACUAGAAAAGUCCUUUGUAAAAACACUUGCAGAUUCGUCAUCAAAUUAGCAGUCAAGUGGGUCUUCUCAUAACUGAAUUUUCCAGGAUAAAUAUCUGUUAAAAAUUCCUAAGCCUGUGUCUACAUUAUAUACUCCAGUAACUCGUGUUCUACAUUAGACAUGUCUCAUGAAGCUUUCACGUAGAAAAUGGUUUGAAUGUCCCUCUGUAGAAGUAGAGAUUAGACUUAGCAAAAAAUAAGAAAACCUGGGGCACUGAAUCAAGAUUAUGAAAAAUCCUCGUAGUUAUAAUACCAUCAUCUCAAAAAGAAACAAUACUACCCUAACUGGGUUUUUGUAUAAGCAAGAGGACAGCAGGUUUGGGAACAGGAAUCCACUGGGCUUCAUCUCCUAGCCACUACCAUUAAACCUGAAGGAGUUAUAUCAAAAAUUUGUAUCAGGCAGGAUCUGUAUGAAAAAAGGUAAAGAUAAGCAAUUUUAUUUACUUAUGUAUUUUUUGUCCACAGACCACAAUUUUUACUACUGAGGGCAACUUCCAGUCAAUACUAAUCAUGUGAAACCUGAGAGGAAAGUCACCUGUCUCAGGUGGGUCCAAAGCAAAGCAAGGUGGAGAGGAAGCAAGAGACCAAGAAGAAAACAGGAAAUUUAUCUGCUCCAUGAAGAUGAAGUUGGUUGCAUCCUAUUUAGAACAUACUGGGAAAUUUACUAAUUCAUAGGUUAUAACUUCAUAUUAUUUUGUGGUUGGGAGACCAGGCAUCAGCUACUAAAAAUAUUCAGAAAACAUGUUUAAAAGCUAAACACAUUAAAAUACAAGAACUAAUGCUCCCACAUUUAAUCAAACAAAACAAUUAGUUGUUUUUAUAGCAUUUUAAGUGGUUUGGCAUAUACUAAAUUAUAUUCAACACUAUUUUUUCAUUUUAAUCGGGCCUAAAACAAACUCAUACUAAAGAACUAAUUGUGUUCAUGGAGUUCAGGGAGUAGGAGAAGACCAGGCUACUCUUUAAAUUUGACUGUAAGAGCAGAUGCAGUGUGGCAAAGUCUACCCAGGUAUAUUAGUAACCUAGGGGUGCUGCAAUAAAGUACCAUGUUCUGGUGGGCUUAAAGCAGCGGAAAUGUAUUUGCUCACAGUUCUGGAUGCUGGAAGUCUGAAAUCAAGGUAUCAGGAGAGCCAUACUUUCUUAAGAAUCUGGGUGGAAUUCUUGUCUCGUGCUAGUUUCUGAGGGCAGCUGUCCAUUCCAGGUGUUCCUGGGCUUGCAUUUGUGCACUCCAAUCUCUGCCCGUGUUAUCACAUGGCAUUCUCCUGGUUUGCCUCUUUUCUCAUCUUACAAGCACACCAGUCAUAUUGGAUUAAGGGUCCACUGUACUCCAGUAUGACUUCAUCUGGACUUUACUAAUUACAUGCUCAUGCUCAAAGGCCCUAUUUCCAAAGAAGGUCAAAUAGGGUACUGAAGGGUUAGGAAUUUCAACAUACCUUCUUUGGGAACACACUUUAACCCACACCACCAGGUAAUUGAGUUGCUAUUGGUUGCUGCAAUUAUUCCCUCAGUAAAUGAAAAAUUCAUUAAAUGUUAUCAAAGAAGCACUCAAAUUAUGUAAUGUACCCCCUUCAGUUGAUGGGAGCCCCUUACAUAAAGAAGCACACGUAAUGCAAGUCCAGACUUGGUUUGGAUUUAUAAUUUCUGGUGAGAAGGACAGAAUUUGGAGUGAAUGUAAAAAAAAAAAUUCCAACAUGAUAGUUUUUCACAAGUUAAUACUUGUUCCUGACACUUAGAUAGUUGCAAAUUGCUUAGAAACAUUGAGUGAGAUAAUUCUCAGGAGUGAUGGCAGCCGUAAAUGUAUUAACUUAAUUUCUGGUACCCAGAAGGGUAUCCUUGGGGUCUCUAAAGUCUUAUGUAUGUUGGACAAAGGGAAUGUCAAGUUCUGUUCCUCACUCAGCCUUGCCCUACUUUUUUUAGAUAGGAACCUGAAAACCUUGAAAAUUAGGUGCUAGAAAAAAAAAUUUGCAGGGAGAAAAGAAAAUUAGAAACAGAAUUUUAGCAUUUGUUGAGCUAGUUGGCCACUAUCACUCUUGCAGAAGAAACUUCUAGAGUACAUAGAACAUUGUUUGUCUUUUCUACAAGUUCAUUUGGAAAGUCAUAUUGAUCUCCUGACUUUAAAAAAUGAUUCGUAGCAAGCAACCAUAAAAAGAUACUCCUCUGUACUUAAAAUGAGUUUGGAAGGGAAGAGUGAGAACAGGGGAGGUCCCUGGUUACAUUUCCUCCCUGGUGCUCAGGGCAAAGCUAAGUGAAGGUGACAGGCAUGAGUCUCAGGCCCCCAGGUACAUCAGGGCAUCUCCGCUUUUUUCCCUGAGGUUAUUCUGACCUCUGCCCCCAACCCUUGUGCACCUCAGAACCUCCCCAACUUGGGGACCCCUCUUUCUUACUCCCUCAUUCUUCCUCCUUGGUGAAAUGAUGCCCAUUGGCAGUAGUAAAUAUUUAAAAGCCACAUUCAUAGGUUCACAGGAUCUAACCUGUACUGAAAACAGUCAAAAUUGCAUGUGCCAAAACCCCAAAGUCCUUACAGGUGGAAUUCCAUCUUUACCUAGUAUUAAUACCCUUCAAAAGCACUAAACAGCAUGGACUUCAGGUGCUGCCCUUAGAAACUAUUCUGUUGUUGCCUUUCUCACUUCUCCAGUGGCUGGUUUUUCCUCAAUUGGCAGCCCCCCUGGCACCCCACCAAACACACACAGUCACGCCUCCUUCCCCAGCUCACACCCUCUCUUGGUUCCCUUUGGUGCUUUAUUUUGAGGCCUAACUCAGCCCCUCAGCCAAGUCCUCUCCUUCCCCUUGGCUUCUCAGCCCAGGUUCUAGGUCUGCAUCUUGGAAGAUUGGGGAUGGGAUUGAUAGAAACACGUUCCUCUGAGGUCCGGAAGGGAUGCGACAGUGAGUAUGUGGAGAUGGAGAGGGGGGACUAGAAACAUUUACAGAUGCAUUUCCCCAUGACAGGUGCAAAACUGUCUGCUGACACCCACAGGUAAAGUACCCUUGCCAACCCCGCAUGGUACUCGAUUCAAUCUGCUGUCUCCCCCAACCCCCUGCCCCAUCUCACUCCCAGCCGCAGAGUCCCUCAUCUAUUAAGAAGUUGUCUAGAUGGGUAUCUAUUUCCUGACCUCUAUCUCCUCCUCAACUCACCCCAAUCUCUCUGCACCCCAAUUUUCCAUGAAAGACAGCACAACUUCCAACUUUAAUGGACCUGUUUCUCUCCGCACAUUGCACGUUUCUUCUUACCACUGAAAGCCCUGCCUCCCCCAUCUCAUCUUCCUGUUUCGUUUUUUCCUAUUUAACAUUUAAUGCAACUGCUUGUUUUAUUGCUUCUGCCCCCCACCCCAAAAAAAAAUACGCUUCCUGAGGACAGGGUGUCUGUCUGUCUUGUCCAUUGCUGAACCCUCUCCAGUGAAUUUUGGCACAAAAACUCCAGUGUCUUCUUUUCAGCAAAGGCCACGAGAAGUAUCAACUGUCCAAACCAAAAACAUCAGGAGUCAUUCUUAAUUGCACCCAUUCUCUCACUCCUCCAAAACACCUGCUGCAUCUGUCAGCUUCUCUUCAAGAAAUUAACCAAGAGCAGCAUUUCUCAAACUGAUAGGUGUUCCAUUAUCACUUCUACAAGAAGACUUCUCACAUUUUUCCUGAUUGUCCCCUCACCCAUGAAAUUUUACUACAGAUAUUCUGUACUGUAUAUUUGCUUGUAUAGUCCAUGUCUAUUUGAAUAAAAAUAAGAUUUUUUGUCCCCCUAAGAACCAAUGUUUGCUUCAUUGAGGGUGACAUCUGCCUAUCUUCUGGCUGAGCAUGCCAUGCUCACCUCCUCCUAGACCACCUUGAUGACUUCAAUAGCUUUGACCCCAGCCUACUCUUCCUUACUCAGUUACAAUGCAAUGACAUCUAGAAUGCCUGCUUAUUUUUAUACAAUGGCGGAUCCUGUAGCAAUACAGUACUGUUGGUUUAGAAAGAAAUUGUACCCCAAACUUUACCCUCCUUCUACCCUUUUUGUUAUCCUCUGAUUAAUUCUCCAGGAUGUAUAGAUAGUAAUCUUUGAAAACAUGCAUCAUAUCAUGUAACUUCUUUUCUUUACAGAACUUUCAGUAAUUAUUAUUAUGCUUAGAUUAAAAUCUGAAUUUUUAAACAUAGCUAGAAGGCACAUAUUAGCUAUCCCUGCCUGCAUCUGGAGCCUAGAAACUCUACAGGGUUGAAUGAACUCCAGGCAUUGUUGGAUCUCUUACUGUGGUUGCCUAGAAAACAGAGGGAAGGAUUCAAGUAUUUGGUGCUAAUGCAUUACUGGGGGUGCAAUCCCAGGGCUGUGUGGUGAGGGAAAGGAAUAGGGAGCAGGAAAGAGCAGGAAGUGGUGCUAUAUGAUUUGUUACCAUGGGGCUCUUCCUUUAUGAUGAAACAGAAAGAGACAUCUGCUUGGCUACAUGAGAAGCCUGCCCUUGGACAGCCGCCUGGAGGUGAAAAUGGAAGGGGAAUUCACCAGUUGCGUUCUGCCCAUACCCGACAUCCCUCUGGGUGAGGCUUGCUUCAUGGAGAGUUCAUCCUCCUGCACUUCUGGGCUGCAGCUACCAGCUCUUCCAGCACCUGCUUGAGAAGCCAUAUCCCACUCCCAGAAGCGUGCGAUCUCAUCCAAGCCCAGAGAACUCAAUAGCAUAUGAGACUCCGUCACUAACAGAACUCCAGUCAUAAAUAUUCUACCAUUUCCACUUGACUCUGGCUCUGAGAAAAUCUUCAAAAACCAACUUACAAAAUAUUAGCACAGUCAUGAUUCAGAUAACAUGCCUGGCCCUGGGUGGAUGGACACCAGGAGAGAUACAGGGCAGUAGCAUGAAAAUGGACCCAGAAUGUAUCUGGGGAAGACUGCUGACUCAGCAUAGUGGCAGCAGUGGGAAAUGCCACCAAAGAGGCAAGACGCAGAUGAACUACACCAGCAAGAGAAGUCUAGCUCACAUGGAUCUGUAGACAAUAUGGACAAAUAAAAUAAACUGACUUUUCAAACAGCCA